rnacentral:rRNA from 1 species
UAGGGAAUAUUGCAAAAUGGGCGAAAGCCCGAUGCAGCAACGCCGCGUGGGCGAUGAAGGCCUUCGGGUCGUAAAGCCCUUUUUGAGGGGAUGAGGAAGGACAGUACCCUCAGAAUAAGCCUCGGCUAACUACGUGCCAGCAGCCGCGGUAAAACGUAGGAGGCGAGCGUUAUCCGGAUUUACUGGGCGUAAAGCGCGUGCAGGCGGAUUGGAGAGUUGGAUGUGAAAGCUCCCGGCUUAACUGGGAGAGGUCGUUCAAUACUUCCAGUCUUGAGUGCAGUAGAGGGAAGUGGAAUUCCGGGUGUAGUGGUGAAAUGCGUAGAUAUCCGGAGGAACACCAGUGGCGAAAGCGGCUUCCUGGACUGUAACUGACGCUCAGACGCGAAAGCUAGUGUAGCAAACG